rnacentral:lncRNA from 1 species
UUCAGACGCUGUGCAUCGCCCUGCGGAGGAGGCAGCAGCUUUUGCAUCCGCGACAUCUUCAGCGAAGCACAUCGAAGUUGGACGACACCGAGUCUUCCCAAGCACACGCUAUACUAAAGAUGGCUCCUGUGGUAAAGAGAGAAGCCAUCCAAGUAUCGUCGUUGACCUCCACGGUACACCCGAGGGCAAGCCAAGAGGCGAGAGAAGUUGAGCUGCGAAAGGUCGUGCAUUUCGCAAGGAAGGGCAUCAAGGAGCACAGGUGGCAGAGCUGGUGGUCAUGGAACAGUGAACGGCAGUACCUCGAGAAGGAAAAGAAGCCAAAGCCACAGCCGGCUGCUAGCGA